UACAGCAGCAUCUCUCAUGUAGACAGCAUACAAUUUGGACUCGUAUUUCUUAUUACUUUUAUCGUCUGUAGCUGUAUCUUGAUCUGAAAAUUUGAAAAAUGAUAAAAUGUCUGCAAUGUCAUUUGCAGACGUACCCCUGCACCAUUUCUAUGAUUAAGAAGAUGAGCACAUUAAAAAAAGCAACAUGCAAUGUAACUCUGCACCACGGGUAGGCUCGAGAUGGGCAAACCAAAAAGCAUCAUGCAGUAAAUAUUAAAUUAAUAUUUAAGUAAAAGAGAGAAUCUCACUUUAAAAAAACGCAUUACAUUAUUAACUUAGAACAGAAUACAAUCGUUAAUGUAUACUAUUAUGCAGUAGAAACUGCAAUAACGUUAAUGAAAUUCAAAUAGGAUUUUGAGAUUGGAAUGCACUGUGUAAAAAAAAAAACUUUCAGUAAUGCAUGAAUAAAGAUGAUUUGGACAUCUUAAACAUAUAACUAUUAAAAGAUCUGAAAGCCACAUACGAUAAUGGUUUACAACAUUUUCAUCUAAUUAAAUUAUCGUAUGUAGUAGUCUAUUUUUAAAAUCAAAAAAGGUAAGGACAAAAAAAGAAGCAUGCAGUUA